CAGACAACUCUCAACAACGGAUAUCUUGGCUCCCGUAACGAUGAAGAACGCAGCGAAAUGCGAUACGUAGUGUGAAUUGCAGAAUUCCGUGAACCAUCGAAUCUUUGAACGCAAAUUGCGCUCGAGGCCUUGGCCAAGAGCAUGUCUGCCUCAGCGUC
rnacentral:rRNA from 1 species